AAAGUCCCGCAAGGGAUUAGUAGAGUGGCAAACGGGUGAGUAACACGUGGGUGACCUGCCUCUGAGUGGGGGAUAACGUCCCGAAAGGGACGCUAAUACCGCAUGACAUCCUGCCCUUGAACGGGUGGAGAUCAAAGCCGGGGAUCGCAAGACCUGGCGCUUGAAGAGGGGCCCGCGUCCGAUUAGCUAGUUGGUGAGGUAACGGCUCACCAAGGCGACGAUCGGUAUCCGGCCUGAGAGGGCGGACGGACACACUGGGACUGAGACACGGCCCAGACUCCUACGGGAGGCAGCAGUGGGGAAUUGUUCGCAAUGGGCGCAAGCCUGACGACGCAACGCCGCGUGGAGGAUGAAGAUCUUCGGGUCGUAAACUCCUUUCGAUCGAGACGAAUGGCUUCCGGGUGAACAAUCCGGGAGAAUGACGGUACCGAGAGAAGAAGCCCCGGCUAACUCCGUGCCAGCAGCCGCGGUAAUACGGGGGGGGCAAGCGUUGUUCGGAAUUACUGGGCGUAAAGGGCUCGUAGGCGGCCAACUAAGUCAGACGUGAAAUCCCUCGGCUUAACCGGGGAACUGCGUCUGAUACUGGAUGGCUUGAGGUUGGGAGAGGGAUGCGGAAUUCCAGGUGUAGCGGUGAAAUGCGUAGAUAUCUGGAGGAACACCGGUGGCGAAGGCGGCAUCCUGGACCAAUUCUGACGCUGAGGAGCGAAAGCCAGGGGAGCAAACGGGAUUAGAUACCCCGGUAGUCCUGGCCCUAAACGAUGAAUGCUUGGUGUGGCGGGUAUCGAUCCCUGCCGUGCCGAAGCUAACGCAUUAAGCAUUCCGCCUGGGGAGUACGGUCGCAAGGCUG
rnacentral:rRNA from 1 species